UUAAGCGACUAAGCGUACACGGUGGAUGCCCUGGCAGUCAGAGGCGAUGAAGGACGUGCUAAUCUGCGAUAAGCGUCGGUAAGGUGAUAUGAACCGUUAUAACCGGCGAUUUCCGAAUGGGGAAACCCAGUGUGAUUCGUCACACUAUCAUUACGUGAAUACAUAGCGUAAUGAAGCGAACCGGGGGAACUGAAACAUCUAAGUACCCCGAGGAAAAGAAAUCAACCGAGAUUCCCCCAGUAGCGGCGAGCGAACGGGGAGCAGCCCAGAGUCUGAAUCAGCUUGUGUGUUAGUGGAACGGUCUGGAAAGUCCGACGGUACAGGGUGAUAGUCCCGUACACCAAAAUGCACAGGUUGUGAACUCGAAGAGUAGGGCGGGACACGUGGUAUCCUGUCUGAAUAUGGGGGGACCAUCCUCCAAGGCUAAAUACUCCUGACUGACCGAUAGUGAACCAGUACCGUGAGGGAAAGGCGAAAAGAACCCCGGCGAGGGGAGUGAAAAAGAACCUGAAACCGUGUACGUACAAGCAGUGGGAGCACCCUUUGGGGUGUGACUGCGUACCUUUUGUAUAAUGGGUCAGCGACUUAUAUUCUGUAGCAAGGUUAACCGUAUAGGGGAGCCGAAGGGAAACCGAGUCUUAACUGGGCGUUAAGUUGCAGGGUAUAGACCCGAAACCCGGUGAUCUAGCCAUGGGCAGGUUGAAGGUUGGGUAACACUAACUGGAGGACCGAACCGACUAAUGUUGAAAAAUUAGCGGAUGACUUGUGGCUGGGGGUGAAAGGCCAAUCAAACCGGGAGAUAGCUGGUUCUCCCCGAAAGCUAUUUAGGUAGCGCCUCGUGAACUCAUCUUCGGGGGUAGAGCACUGUUUCGGCUAGGGGGUCAUCCCGACUUACCAACCCGAUGCAAACUGCGAAUACCGAAGAAUGUUAUCACGGGAGACACACGGCGGGUGCUAACGUCCGUCGUGAAGAGGGAAACAACCCAGACCGCCAGCUAAGGUCCCAAAGUCAUGGUUAAGUGGGAAACGAUGUGGGAAGGCACAGACAGCCAGGAUGUUGGCUUAGAAGCAGCCAUCAUUUAAAGAAAGCGUAAUAGCUCACUGGUCGAGUCGGCCUGCGCGGAAGAUGUAACGGGGCUAAACCAUGCACCGAAGCUGCGGCAGCGACACUAUGUGUUGUUGGGUAGGGGAGCGUUCUGUAAGCCGUUGAAGGUGUACUGUGAGGUAUGCUGGAGGUAUCAGAAGUGCGAAUGCUGACAUAAGUAACGAUAAUGCGGGUGAAAAACCCGCACGCCGGAAGACCAAGGGUUCCUGUCCAACGUUAAUCGGGGCAGGGUGAGUCGACCCCUAAGGCGAGGCCGAAAGGCGUAGUCGAUGGGAAACAGGUUAAUAUUCCUGUACUUGGUGUUACUGCGAAGGGGGGACGGAGAAGGCUAUGUUAGCCGGGCGACGGUUGUCCCGGUUUAAGCAUGUAGGCGGAGGUUCCAGGUAAAUCCGGUACCUUUUUAACGCUGAGGUGUGAUGACGAGGCACUACGGUGCUGAAGUAACAAAUGCCCUGCUUCCAGGAAAAGCCUCUAAGCAUCAGGUAACACGAAAUCGUACCCCAAACCGACACAGGUGGUCAGGUAGAGAAUACCAAGGCGCUUGAGAGAACUCGGGUGAAGGAACUAGGCAAAAUGGUGCCGUAACUUCGGGAGAAGGCACGCUGAUAUGUAGGUGAAGCGGUUUACCCGUGGAGCUGAAAUCAGUCGAAGAUACCAGCUGGCUGCAACUGUUUAUUAAAAACACAGCACUGUGCAAACACGAAAGUGGACGUAUACGGUGUGACGCCUGCCCGGUGCCGGAAGGUUAAUUGAUGGGGUUAUCCGUAAGGAGAAGCUCUUGAUCGAAGCCCCGGUAAACGGCGGCCGUAACUAUAACGGUCCUAAGGUAGCGAAAUUCCUUGUCGGGUAAGUUCCGACCUGCACGAAUGGCGUAAUGAUGGCCAGGCUGUCUCCACCCGAGACUCAGUGAAAUUGAACUCGCUGUGAAGAUGCAGUGUACCCGCGGCAAGACGGAAAGACCCCGUGAACCUUUACUAUAGCUUGACACUGAACACUGGUCCUUGAUGUGUAGGAUAGGUGGGAGGCUUUGAAGUGUGGACGCCAGUCUGCAUGGAGCCAUCCUUGAAAUACCACCCUUUAAUGGCUGGUGUUCUAACGUGGACCCGUGAUCCGGGUUGCGGACAGUGUCUGGUGGGUAGUUUGACUGGGGCGGUCUCCUCCUAAAGAGUAACGGAGGAGCACGAAGGUUAGCUAAUCCUGGUCGGACAUCAGGAGGUUAGUGCAAAGGCAUAAGCUAGCUUGACUGCGAGAGUGACGGCUCGAGCAGGUGCGAAAGCAGGUCUUAGUGAUCCGGUGGUUCUGAAUGGAAGGGCCAUCGCUCAACGGAUAAAAGGUACUCCGGGGAUAACAGGCUGAUACCGCCCAAGAGUUCAUAUCGACGGCGGUGUUUGGCACCUCGAUGUCGGCUCAUCACAUCCUGGGGCUGAAGUAGGUCCCAAGGGUAUGGCUGUUCGCCAUUUAAAGUGGUACGCGAGCUGGGUUUAGAACGUCGUGAGACAGUUCGGUCCCUAUCUGCCGUGGGCGCUGGAGAAUUGAGGGGGGCUGCUCCUAGUACGAGAGGACCGGAGUGGACGCAUCACUGGUGUUCGGGUUGUCAUGCCAAUGGCAUUGCCCGGUAGCUAAAUGCGGAAGAGAUAAGUGCUGAAAGCAUCUAAGCACGAAACUUGCCCCGAGAUGAGUUCUCCCUGAGACUUUAAGUCUCCUGAAGGAACGUUGAAGACGACGACGUUGAUAGGUCGGGUGUGUAAGCGUAGCGAUACGUUGAGCUAACCGAUACUAAUGAACCGUGAGGCUUAACCUU
rnacentral:rRNA from 1 species